rnacentral:rRNA from 1 species
AGUGAACGCUGGCGGUAUGCCUAACACAUGCAAGUCGAACGGCAGCACAGUAAGAGCUUGCUCUUACGGGUGGCGAGUGGCGGACGGGUGAGGAAUACAUCGGAAUCUACUUUUUCGUGGGGGAUAACGUAGGGAAACUUACUCUAAUACCGCAUACGACCUACGUGUGAAAGCAGGGGAUCUUCUGACCUUGCGCGAGUGAAUGAGCCGAUGUCGGAUUAGCUAGUUGGCGGGGUAAAGGCCCACCAAGGCGACGAUCCGUAGCUGGUCUGAGGGGAUGAUCAGCCACACUGGAACUGAGACACGGUCCAGACUCCUACGGGAGGCAGCAGUGGGGAAUAUUGCGCAAUGGGCGAAAGCCUGAUCCGGCAAUACCGCGUGAGUGCAGAAGGCCUUCGGGUUGUAAAGCCCUUUUGUUGGGAAAGAAAAACAGCAGGUUAAUACGCCGCUGUUACGACGGUACCCAAAGAAUAAGCACCGGCUAACUUCGUG